rnacentral:rRNA from 1 species
UACGGAAGGGGCAAGCGUUGUUCGGAAUCAUUGGGCGUAAAGGGCGCGUAGGUGGUUCUGUAUGUCUACCGUGAAAGCGUACGGCUCAACCGUAUUUUGUCGGUGGAAACUGCAGGACUUGAGGCUGGGAGGGGCUGGUGGAAUUCCCUGUGUAGCGGUGAAAUGCGUAGAGAUGGGGGAGAACACUCGUGGUGAAGGCGGCCAGCUAGACCAGUUCUGACACUGAGGCGCGACAGCGUGGGGAGCAAACAGG